GACAACUAUGCUCUCUUGGACUCCCGGACACGGACAGCUGGAGCAUCACCAGGGAUCGAACUCGUUGGUGCUGUUUCUACUGUUCUACUGAUUUAACUACUUCAGCAUCAAACAAGCCUCUUCUGAGUGGAACCGACUAUCAGAGCAGUGAAGACAGUAAGCCAAGCAGGCAACGGUGCUGCAGGACACUGCAUUAAACAAUGCAUUAACUGUUAAACAACUCGUUAAGCCAGAGGUCACCACUCGUGUCCACAAAGGUCCAGUGUAGCUGCAGGUUUUCAUUAUAAUCAAGCAGAAACAAACCUGAUUCCACUGGUGAGCUGUAGGAGGUGUGCACCUGCAGCCACACCAACUCUUUUUGUAUAUCACU